rnacentral:rRNA from 1 species
AGAGUUUGAUCCUGGCUCAGGAUGAACGCUAGCGGCAGGCUUAACACAUGCAAGUCGAGGGGUAACAGGGAGCUUGCUCCGCUGACGACCGGCGCACGGGUGCGUAACGCGUAUAGAACCUACCUUUUACAGAGGAAUAGCCUUUAGAAAUGAAGAUUAAUGCCUUAUAGUAUUAAAGACUCGCAUGAGUUUUUAAUUAAAGAUUUAUCGGUAAAAGAUGGCUAUGCGUCCUAUUAGCUAGAUGGUAAGGUAACGGCUUACCAUGGCAACGAUAGGUAGGGGUCCUGAGAGGGAGAUCCCCCACACUGGUACUGAGACACGGACCAGACUCCUACGGGAGGCAGCAGUGAGGAAUAUUGGGCAAUGGAGGCAACUCUGACCCAGCCAUGCCGCGUGCAGGAAGAAGGCCCUAUGGGUUGUAAACUGCUUUUAUACAGGAAGAAACAGCUCUACGUGUAGAGCCUUGACGGUACUGUAAGAAUAAGCACCGGCUAACUCCGUGCCAGCAGCCGCGGUAAUACGGAGGGUGCAAGCGUUAUCCGGAAUCAUUGGGUUUAAAGGGUCCGCAGGCGGUCAAUUAAGUCAGAGGUGAAAUCCCAUAGCUUAACUAUGGAACUGCCUUUGAUACUGGUUGACUUGAGUCAUAUGGAAGUAGAUAGAAUGUGUAGUGUAGCGGUGAAAUGCAUAGAUAUUACACAGAAUACCGAUUGCGAAGGCAGUCUACUACGUAUGUACUGACGC